rnacentral:rRNA from 1 species
GACGAACGCUGGCGGCGUGCUUAACACAUGCAAGUCGAGCGGUAAGGCCCUUUCGGGGGUACACGAGCGGCGAACGGGUGAGUAACACGUGGGUGACCUGCCCUCAGCUCUGGGAUAAGCCUGGGAAACUGGGUCUAAUACCGGAUAUGACUCCUCAUCGCAUGGGUGGGGGGUGGAAAGUCUUUUUGUUGGUUUUGGUAUGGACUCGCGGCCUAUCAGCUUGUUGGUGAGGUAAUGGCUUACCAAGGCGACGACGGGUAGCCGGCCUGAGAGGGUGACCGGCCACACUGGGACGUGAGACACGGCCCACGACUCCUACGGGAGGCAGCAGUGGGGAAUAUUGCACAAUGGGCGAAAGCCUGAUGCAGCGACGCCGCGUGAGGGAUGACGGCC